rnacentral:rRNA from 1 species
AUUGAACGCUGGCGGCAUGCCUUACACAUGCAAGUCGAACGGCAGCACGGGAGCAAUCCUGGUGGCGAGUGGCGAACGGGUGAGUAAUAUAUCGGAACGUGCCCAGUCGUGGGGGACAACGCAGCGAAAGCUGGGCUAAUACCGCAUACGAUCGACGGCUGAAAGCGGGGGAUAGCAAGACCUCUCGCGCUUGGAGCGGCCGAUAUCAGAUUAGCUAGUUGGUGGGGUAAAGGCUCACCAAGGCGACGAUCUGUAGCUGGUCUGAGAAGACGACCAGCCACACUGGAACUGAGACACGGUCCAGACUCCUACGGGAGGCAGCAGUGGGGAAUUUUGGACAAUGGGCGAAAGCCUGAUCCAGCAAUGCCGCGUGCAGGAUGAAGGCCUUCGGGUUGUAAACUGCUUUUGUACGGAACGAAACGGUGAGCUCUAAUACAGUUUGCUAAUGACGGUACCGUAAGAAUAAGCACCGGCUAACUACGUGCCAGCCGCCGCCGUAA